ACACCCAGAACCACAUCAAGCACUCAGGGCACCAGUGAAAGACACGCGACUGAGACCAGGGACACACAGCCUGAAGGAAGUGAAGGGGCCACAUCUAGUAUUCCAGGCCUCAGUGAAACACAGACCACUGAGACCAGGGAUACUCAGCCUGAAGCAAUGAAGGAACAACAAACACAACAAGCUCUGCUACUACACUGCCGCCUGCAUACACCUCACCAUCUGCAAUUCCUGAUUUCCAGGGAGCACCUAUAGAUCCUGCUGACUGGCCAGCCCUCUGUGAUGCGAUAAGGACAGAGUUAGUUAGCAGAAGACCGUACCAGACCAGUCCAGACUUUACAUUUCCAAAAAGA